GGGUCAGUAGGUUGGUCGUGCCACCGGUACGUACUGGUCUCACUGAUUCCUCCUUCCUGAAGAACCGUAAUGCCAUUAAUUUGGUGUUGCGGGGAAACAGGACUGUUACUUCGAAAAAACUAGAGUGUUUAAAGCAAGCUAACGCUUGAAUACAUUAGCAUGGAAUAAUGAAAUAGGACGAUCGAUCCUAUUUUGUUGGUUUCUAGGAUUGACGUA
rnacentral:rRNA from 1 species